rnacentral:rRNA from 1 species
AUCGGUUGAUCCUGCCGGAGGUUACUGCUAUUGGAAUCCGAUUAAGCCAUGCGAGUCGAUCGGGUCAGACCCGAGGCGCACUGCUCAGUAACACGUGGAGAAUCUGCCCUUAGGUGAGGAAUAACCUCGGGAAACUGAGAAUAAUACCUCAUAGGUUAUGAAUGCUGGAAUGCUUCAUAGCUCAAAGCCCCGGCGCCUAAGGAUGACUCUGCGGACUAUCAGGUAGUAGUCAGGGUAACGACCUGACUAGCCUACGACGGAUACGGGGUGUGAGAGCACUAGCCCGGAGAUGGAUUCUGAGACACGAAUCCAGGCCCUACGGGGUGCAGCAGGCGCGAAACUUCCGCAAUGCUCGCCAGAGUGACGGAGGGAUUCCAAGUGCCUAUGCUAUGCGUAGGCU